AAUGAUAAAAAAAAUCACCAUAAAAGUAGCAACCAUAAAAGUAGCAACCAUAAAAGUGGUAAUCAAAAAAAGAAUAAGCAUAAGAAAAAAAUGAAUAAUGUUGAUGAUAACGAGUUUGACAUGUUAUUUUUGACAGGAGGAGUCAAACCAAAUUAUGACCACAUUAUGAACGAAUUAAAUAGUAAGUAUAGUAUAAGUGAAGAUUGUAUGAAGAGCGGUAGCUGUAAUAGCAAUAAUAUUGUUUUUAAUGAUCUUUUUUGUAAUAAAAAAAAAGAUAAAAAACAGAUUAAUAACUUAGAUUAUAUAAAUAAAAACAACAAGGAUGGAACAUUCGAANNNNNNNNNNNNNNNNNNNNNNNNNNNNNNNNNNNNNNNNNNNNNNNNNNNNNNNNNNNNNNNNNNNNNNNNNNNNNNNNNNNNNNNNNNNNNNNNNNNNUUCGAAGUCUAAUAAGAAAUCUAUAAAUUGUAAAGCCUCAUGUGAAUUUGAAUCAAAACAUGUUAACAGUGAUAUGUUAAUCAAGUUGGAUAUAAUUAAUAAUAAUGAAUCAAAUAAACAGGAUAACACAUUACAGAUUUCACUACCAAACGAAUUAGAUGAAUUAAAAAAUGAUAUAUCUGUUGAUAAUAAUAUAUCCAUUGUUCUUACUGUUAAUAACAACAGCUAUAUUUUUGAAAAUGUUUGUUAUAAAAAUAAAAAUAAAAAUAAUAAAACAAAUGUAUGUAGUAAUGAGUUUAUACAUAGUAAAUGUAACUUCAAAAAGUUGAUAAAAAAUGAUAAAGAAUCUGCAUAUGUAAUAAAUGAAGAGAAGGAAAAACAAUUGGAAUUUGACAAACAAGCAAAACAAGAGAAACGAAAACAGCGAAAACGACGUGAACAAGAGAUACGGGAACAGGAAAGACGUGAACAGAAGCAACGAGAACAAGAGAAACGAGAACAAAAACAACGAAAACAGGAGCGACGAGAACAGGAGCGACGAGAACAGGAACUACGAGAACAGGAGCGACGGGAACAAAAGCAACGAGAACAAGAACGAAGAAAAAAUAAGCAACGAAAACAUGAGCAACGAAAACAUGAGCAACGAAAACAUGAGCAACGAAAACAGGAGCAACGAAAACAGGAGCAACGAGAACAAGAGAAACGAAAACAGGAGCAACGAGAACAAGAGAAACGAAAACAGGAGCAACGAGCAAAUGAACGAAAAGAAAAGGAGCAACGGGAACAAGAGCAACGAGCAAAGGAACAACAAGUAAAGGAACGAAAAGAAAAGGAACGACGGGAAAAAGAACAACGAGAACAAGAACAACGCGAACAAGAACAACGAGAACAAGAACAACGAGAACAAGAACAACGCGAACAAGAACAACGAGAACGAGAACAACGAGAACGAGAACAACGAGAACGAGAAAUACGAGAACAAUGUAAUCUUGUCUCUGAAAAAAAGAAAAAAAAGGAAAGGGAACAUGAUAAAAAUCUAUUAUUAAAAAAUGAGUAUGAGGGAUUGGUAGAGUAUGAUCUGACAGACGAAAAUGGAAAAGUAAAAAUAGUAUAUGACUUAACAGGGGCGCGUGAAAAAAACAAAAUUGUUUAUGACUUGACAAACGAAAGAGGAGAAAGUGACAAUAAUGAAAAUGUCCAAGUACAUAUGUUACCAAAAAUAAAAAAUAACAAAAGCGACAAGGAAGAUGAUAUAUGUGACACAAAUAAGUUUACAUAUAUGAAUACGACUAGUAACGUAUUUAGAGAAAUAGAAAAUAACGACGAUAAACAAAAAGGUUGUUAUAGUUGUUCUUGUACAGAAUUGUUACGUACAUGUAAUUUAUUACUUAGCGAGUUAGAAGCACUAAAAAAAAAAAAAGGAAGAUGUAGAAGUUGUAACCACAUGUAUGAUAAUAGCAUUUUUAAAGACAAAACUUAUAAUAACACAUAUGACUUCAACAAUGUAGACAAAUCAACUUUUAAAUAUAAUAUAUUGAAAGGUGUGAUAAAACAAGAAAAGGACACUACUAUUCUUGAGGGAAAGAAGUCAAGUUAUGUGAAACCAUGUUAUAUGAAAACAGAAAUACCAGUUAGCACAAAUAAAAAGAGAAAAAAUAUUAUUUCUAGUUCUAUUCAAAAUAGUGAAAACAACUUAAGUGAUCAAGAUGAAGUGAAAAAAUUGAUUAAAAAAGAAAUACAAGUGAAUAAACUAACCAAUAACAUAUGUAGACAAACAGUGAAGAAAGAAAAUAUGAAAAAGUUAAAAAUGGCUUAUAGUACAACGAAAGAACAAAUAGAUUCUAUUAAUAUGGUUAAAAAUGUUUCUGAGAAUGUUCAUAUGUUGGUUGAUAACUCUACAUUGGAGAUAAUUAAUAGUGUAGUAAAUAGCAUAGAUAAUAGUAAUCACAUUAGUAAUAACAUAAAUAAUAAUAUAAGUAAUAACAAUAAUACCGAUCAGUGUUCAUGUGUACGCAACGUUGUUAUUAUUCCAAAAUGUAGUCAUAUAGAUGAUAAAGUCAGUAUAUUGAAUCUAAACACAUGUGUGGUAAGUAGUGAAAAUAACAAAACAGAUACAACAACAUCUACACAGAAAGCCCAAAGAAACAAUAAAAACAUACAGAUUGAUAAAAUUGAUAAUAUAAAAAAAGUAAAGUUUCGAUUUGGAUCUGAAAAGGAAAACAAAAAAAGUAAAAUUAUGAGUUUAAGCAACUAUAUAUUUAGUAAUAACAAUGAUAGGGUUAAGAAUUUGGAAACUGUAAAAAGUUAC
ensembl:lncRNA